rfam:Haemonchus contortus, ISE/inbred ISE, WGS project CAVP01000000 data, contig: Hcontortus_7516
GGCCCAAAUUUGAAGUGGAGUAGAUUAGUAUGGUCACCUGACCCCACUAAUCUACUGUACUUCAAGUUUGUGCCC